rnacentral:rRNA from 1 species
CCAAACUCCUACGGGAGGCAGCAGUAGGGAAUCUUCGGCAAUGGGCGAAAGCCUGACCGAGCAACGCCGCGUGAAUGAAGAAGGCCUUCGGGUUGUAAAAUUCUGUUAUAAGGGAAGAAAGGUGAUAGGAGGAAAUGACUAUCAAUUGACGGUACCUUAUGAGAAAGCCACGGCUAACUACGUGCCAGCAGCCGCGGUAAUACGUAGGGGGCAAGCGUUAUCCGGAUUCACUGGGUGUAAAGGGAGCGUAGACGGCGACGCAAGUCUGGAGUGAAAGCCCGGGGCCCAACCCCGGGACUGCUCUGGAAACUGCGGCGCUGGAGUACGGGAGGGGCAGGCGGAAUUCCUGGUGUAGCGGUGAAAUGCGUAGAUAUCAGGAGGAACACCGGCGGCGAAGGCGGCCUGCUGGACCGUGACUGACGUUGAGGCUCGAGAGCGUGGGGAGCAAACAGGAUUAGAUACCCGAGUAG